UCAAACCCUGGCACAUCAAGACUGCAGGUUGGGCUGUGUACUGUGAAAGGUACCCUGAUUCCUGUUCAAGAUAGAUCGAAUCCCUGGAAAGCCUAAAUGGAACAUCAGGCAAAUUCCCAGUCUCCCAGAUCAAGGCAUCUAGCUGCAGCCCCCCACUGAACCCUAUAGAGAUAUUUGAGACAGACUUUUCACAUAGAGCAAUACUCAAAACACCUACUCUAUAUGUGAGGACAUGACCACAGGUCACAUAGGCUCAAGACAGAUCAGUCAAAGAAAUAGGUCCAUGCCCCUGGAUUUGAAGAUGAGGUCUUCCCAAACUCUCAGGAGAAACCAAUAGGAAGUACCUUCUGUCAGACACUGACCCAUCCCAAAACUAUAUUCAAUAAUCAUGUUAAGGAUUAAAAGUGUGCGGGAAUUAUUCCAUUGUCUGAGAGCUUCUGUCAUAAGAACUGUAACAUUGUAUCUUGGGGAAGAGAUCUGCUCUCCCAAAUUGCCACCAGAAGCCCUCUAACAUCCUUAGCCAGCUAGUCAGUCUGCUGCUGGCUCAGCCUGGUCUGACUUGGCAGCAGCAAAAUAGAGGACUGGCAGCGGGCAUGGCAAAAGCUGUUCCCUCACCCUACCUGAGUUCUCUCCCUUCUUGGUACAAACCCAUGAACAUAGCCAGGCAAUAGAUCUCCUUGAGGAGCCCCAGGCAAGGUGCAUACUCUUCCACUGAGGUCAGACAAGGAAGCUCAGUUAGAAUAUAACUCAUAUACAGCCAACAACUUUUGUCUGCUGCAAUUGUUCAGAUACCAAAAGAAGACAAAUCUGCAUAUAUGCUGGGAAGCCAAGGUACAGCCCUAUAUAUAUUCCUUGUUUAGUGGUCUGUCUCUGAGAUUCCCCAAGGGUCCAGGUUAGUUGUUACUCUUGGUCUUCAUGUGGAGCUCCUAUCCCCUUCAGGGACCACAAUUCAUCCUCCAAUUCUUCAAUAAGGGUCCCCAAGCUCCAUCCAUGGUUUGGCUUUGGGUUCCUGUUUAUGCAUGACUAAGCUGCUUGGUAGAGUCUCACAGAGGUCAGCAUGCUAGACUCUUGUCUGCAAGCAUAACUGAAUAUCAUUAAUAGGGUCAUGGAUUAAUGCUUUUCCACAGGAUGGGUCUCAAUUUGAGCCAGUUAUUUGUUGCCUGCUCCCUAAGUCUUACUCCAUUUCCAAAUCCUGUAUUUCUUAUAGACAGGGUGAGUUUGUUUCAAAUGUUUUGUCACAAUAUUGAUAUUGCUAUUGCUCUCCAGGGAUUCUUUCCUGGCUACAGGCAGCUUUCUCACCAGUCUACAUAAGUGUCUCAGCUAAAUACACCCAUACUGAUUAUUGUGUGCCUCUCCUAUCACUGGUCACCACGUUCCAGAAGAUGUUCCUUACCGACAUCCUCAGCAGUUGCUGAAUUCCACUGAUUCUCAUGACCAUCAGGUCAUACUCCCAUGCUUCCCCACACAUGGAGCUGCAACUCCACUCCCGCCAUGAACCCCUCUCCUGCUCAGUUCCCUCUCUCCAUUUGCCUUCCAUAACCAUUCCAUUCCCCCUUCCAAGUGAGACUCAAGAAUUCUUGCUUGUGCCCCUCUUUCUGUCCAGACAACUUGGGUCUGUGGUAUGUAGCAAAAACAUUUUCUUUUUUAUGACUAAUGUCCACUCAUAAGUUAAAACAUACCAAAAAUGCCUUCGUGGGACUUGGCAACCUCAGGAUUAUAUUCUCAAGUUCCAUCCAUUUGUCUGUAAACCGGGUGUCUUUGUAUUUCAUAGAUGACUACUAAUCCAUUGUGCAGAU
rnacentral:sRNA from 1 species